rnacentral:lncRNA from 1 species
CCGAGUCGAGGCGAUUGAGUCCUUCCGAUCCUCAGAGGAGCUGAAGAGCUAUAUCAUGGACUUGAUGAGCAGCUUCGCUGGGAAGAUAGGUUGGUUAGGUUCAACCCCUCGGUGGAGAUUAACUUUGACACCAGUGGCGAGCCUCCGGCACAGACCCCUCUUGCUGAUGCUAGCGCCCCGACACCAGAGGCUGAGCCGGCCAGUGAGGAUGCCCC